AGUGCUGGAGGAGGGCUCUGCAGCCAGGCCCGGAGCUCUGCUAUUUUACAAAACAAGUGGUCUCACCCAUGCAACGCAACCAAAUUAAUUGGAACGAUUGAGACAAACCAAAGCAAAGCCUGAAGUGGAACCCACUGCCAUCAUUUCAAGACCUUUUAUUUCAAGUAACCACGUGGGGAACAUGAUGGUGAUUGCGGCCAGUGUGGAGUGGUUGCCUUCUUCCAACAUGGGCAGAGUGCUGCUGAGCCUGCAGGGCUGAGCCAAAGCUGCUACAGAGACUUCCCAGGCGAUGUCUGAUUGGAAAACUUUGAACAUGGUCUCCUAUCAUGAGUUAUUACUGCUCCUGAAUGUACAGCACUUAGGAAUACAAAUGGUGGUCUCUGCAGCACAUUUAAAUGGGCUGUGUGUUGUCUGUCCUUUCUCACGUUGUGGAAUGUGUUCCUAUGGGUUCCUCUGUUGGAGAAGCGUGACAUCAUUUUUCAGACAGAAUCGGUGAGGCUUUAAGUUCAGAUACCCGACAGGUGAACAGCCAGACCUGUAGGUUUUCUUCCCCAAAUCCGCGCGUAAAGGAGAUAACGGGUCUUUAUCUGACUAUGGGAUUUAAUUUUUUUUUCCAUAGAAUCACAGAACUGUGGAAUCUUUGGGGUUAGAAGGGACCUCUGAAGCUCGCCCAGUCCAGCUCACCUGCACUGAACAGCAACAUGCACGGCUAGGCCAGGAAACGUGGUUGAGACUUCACAUCUUCAGGCUUUCUCAAAUGUGAAGAACUUUCUUAAUGCCUAUCGAAAUUUGGGAUUCUUUGUAACCGAAUAAUUCCUGGAGGCUGAGCUGUAAAGAAAACACGGGCUGCUCGAACACAUUCUCCAGAAUUCUAAAAAUGCAAAACAAUUAUUGUUGGCUUCAAAGAGUUACUCAGAGUAAAGAACAGCUUUAUCUACAUCUGAUCUUCAGGGGGGGGGGAAAAAAAAAGCAUAUGGGCCUGGAAACAUCCCAGCCUCUCAGACAGCACUGAUAUUCUCCUAAUGCAGCUACCAGGCCAGGUGUACUUCAGUGUGAGGGCUGUGCGGUGGCCUUCAGCAGGUCUUUUGAAGCUGCCCUCCUGCUGCGUUUUGGUUAUAGGGCAGAGGUUUAUGAGUGUACGGUCGCUAACCACGGAGUGUUCAUACGUUUAAGCUUCAUCACCAAAUCAGGCCAUAGGUGUAUAAAGACGGCCUUCUGAGGAGCAGCGUGGGUUUUAUCUGCUCGCUUGUUGUUUGCUUGGAGGGCAGUCUUCAGCUGGAGCUGCCAAACCCUCUUGUGUUGUAAUUAAACGGUACAUUUGGAGC
ensembl:lncRNA